rnacentral:SRP_RNA from 1 species
GCUGGACAUGGUGGUGCGCGCCUGUAGUCCCAGCUACUGGGGAGGCUGAGACGGGAGGAUCGCUUGAGCCCAGGCAUUCUGGGCUGUAGUGCACUAUGCCGGGUGUCCACACUAAGUUUGGCAUGAAUAUGGUGGCCUCCCGGAAGCGGGCAACCAACUGGUUGUCUAAGGAGGGGUGAACUGGCCCAGGUUGGAAACAGAGCAGGGCAAAACUCCAGUGCUCGGCCCUCUAGCCCACGCAACAGAGUGAGACUCUGUCA